CAUUUUCAUAGUCAGACACUGAUCUCCCCCAUAGUAAAUAACAAUUUUGGAUAUUUACAGUACUUCCUAAGUCCAGGUACUGAGAUGGAGAGUUGUGCCUCAGAAAUGAGUCACUCUGGGAAGUGUAAGGAGGGGGAAACUUCCUCAAAAAUGACUCUGAACAGAGUCCAACAAGAAAGAAGAGACUCACCCGAACCCAGCUGUGUAUCCAUGAAGAGUGACCGGUCAAUGGAACAACCUAUUCUCUUCCAACAGGGACUGGUUUCUACAGAUGGAAGAAAUCAGCUGAAGACAUGUGACUCGGCACGUCAACAGGUUGAUUUAUCAGCAGUUUUCAAGUCUCUUGAGGACAAAGCUGUGAAGUUCCUGAGACAUAAGCUGAACAAGUUGAAGAGGAAUCUGAGUCAGGAUUACCCAGCAUGCCUUGAGCCCCAGGCUGACAAUGACCUGGACAGUGAAGCUGAGAUCCAGAAGAUGUGUGGCAGAGAGGGGGCUCUGAAGAUCACACCGUACAUCCUGAGGACUAUGAACCAGAAGGACCUCACAGACACACUGGAGAAGAGUAAGAAC
rnacentral:lncRNA from 1 species